rnacentral:rRNA from 1 species
AGCGUACACGGUGGAUGCCCUGGCAGUCAGAGGCGAUGAAGGACGUGCUAAUCUGCGAUAAGCGUCGGUAAGGUGAUAUGAACCGUUAUAACCGGCGAUUUCCGAAUGGGGAAACCCAGUGUGUUUCGACACACUAUCAUUAACUGAAUCCAUAGGUUAAUGAGGCGAACCGGGGGAACUGAAACAUCUAAGUACCCCGAGGAAAAGAAAUCAACCGAGAUUCCCCCAGUAGCGGCGAGCGAACGGGGAGCAGCCCAGAGCCUGAAUCAGUGUGUGUGUUAGUGGAAGCGUCUGGAAAGGCGCGCGAUACAGGGUGACAGCCCCGUACACAAAAAUGCACAUGCUGUGAGCUCGAUGAGUAGGGCGGGACACGUGGUAUCCUGUCUGAAUAUGGGGGGACCAUCCUCCAAGGCUAAAUACUCCUGACUGACCGAUAGUGAACCAGUACCGUGAGGGAAAGGCGAAAAGAACCCCGGCGAGGGGAGUGAAAAAGAACCUGAAACCGUGUACGUACAAGCAGUGGGAGCACGCUUAGGCGUGUGACUGCGUACCUUUUGUAUAAUGGGUCAGCGACUUAUAUUCUGUAGCAAGGUUAACCGAAUAGGGGAGCCGAAGGGAAACCGAGUCUUAACUGGGCGUUAAGUUGCAGGGUAUAGACCCGAAACCCGGUGAUCUAGCCAUGGGCAGGUUGAAGGUUGGGUAACACUAACUGGAGGACCGAACCGACUAAUGUUGAAAAAUUAGCGGAUGACUUGUGGCUGGGGGUGAAAGGCCAAUCAAACCGGGAGAUAGCUGGUUCUCCCCGAAAGCUAUUUAGGUAGCGCCUCGUGAAUUCAUCUCCGGGGGUAGAGCACUGUUUCGGCAAGGGGGUCAUCCCGACUUACCAACCCGAUGCAAACUGCGAAUACCGGAGAAUGUUAUCACGGGAGACACACGGCGGGUGCUAACGUCCGUCGUGAAGAGGGAAACAACCCAGACCGCCAGCUAAGGUCCCAAAGUCAUGGUUAAGUGGGAAACGAUGUGGGAAGGCCCAGACAGCCAGGAUGUUGGCUUAGAAGCAGCCAUCAUUUAAAGAAAGCGUAAUAGCUCACUGGUCGAGUCGGCCUGCGCGGAAGAUGUAACGGGGCUAAACCAUGCACCGAAGCUGCGGCAGCGACGCUUAUGCGUUGUUGGGUAGGGGAGCGUUCUGUAAGCCUGUGAAGGUGUGCUGUGAGGCAUGCUGGAGGUAUCAGAAGUGCGAAUGCUGACAUAAGUAACGAUAAAGCGGGUGAAAAGCCCGCUCGCCGGAAGACCAAGGGUUCCUGUCCAACGUUAAUCGGGGCAGGGUGAGUCGACCCCUAAGGCGAGGCCGAAAGGCGUAGUCGAUGGGAAACAGGUUAAUAUUCCUGUACUUGGUGUUACUGCGAAGGGGGGACGGAGAAGGCUAUGUUGGCCGGGCGACGGUUGUCCCGGUUUAAGCGUGUAGGCUGGUUUUCCAGGCAAAUCCGGAAAAUCAAGGCUGAGGCGUGAUGACGAGGCACUACGGUGCUGAAGCAACAAAUGCCCUGCUUCCAGGAAAAGCCUCUAAGCAUCAGGUAACAUCAAAUCGUACCCCAAACCGACACAGGUGGUCAGGUAGAGAAUACCAAGGCGCUUGAGAGAACUCGGGUGAAGGAACUAGGCAAAAUGGUGCCGUAACUUCGGGAGAAGGCACGCUGAUAUGUAGGUGAAGCGACUUGCUCGUGGAGCUGAAAUCAGUCGAAGAUACCAGCUGGCUGCAACUGUUUAUUAAAAACACAGCACUGUGCAAACACGAAAGUGGACGUAUACGGUGUGACGCCUGCCCGGUGCCGGAAGGUUAAUUGAUGGGGUCAGCGCAAGCGAAGCUCUUGAUCGAAGCCCCGGUAAACGGCGGCCGUAACUAUAACGGUCCUAAGGUAGCGAAAUUCCUUGUCGGGUAAGUUCCGACCUGCACGAAUGGCGUAAUGAUGGCCAGGCUGUCUCCACCCGAGACUCAGUGAAAUUGAACUCGCUGUGAAGAUGCAGUGUACCCGCGGCAAGACGGAAAGACCCCGUGAACCUUUACUAUAGCUUGACACUGAACAUUGAGCCUUGAUGUGUAGGAUAGGUGGGAGGCUUAGAAGUGUGGACGCCAGUCUGCAUGGAGCCGGCCUUGAAAUACCACCCUUUAAUGUUUGAUGUUCUAACGUGGACCCGUAAUCCGGGUUGCGGACAGUGUCUGGUGGGUAGUUUGACUGGGGCGGUCUCCUCCUAAAGAGUAACGGAGGAGCACGAAGGUUGGCUAAUCCUGGUCGGACAUCAGGAGGUUAGUGCAAUGGCAUAAGCCAGCUUGACUGCGAGCGUGACGGCGCGAGCAGGUGCGAAAGCAGGUCAUAGUGAUCCGGUGGUUCUGAAUGGAAGGGCCAUCGCUCAACGGAUAAAAGGUACUCCGGGGAUAACAGGCUGAUACCGCCCAAGAGUUCAUAUCGACGGCGGUGUUUGGCACCUCGAUGUCGGCUCAUCACAUCCUGGGGCUGAAGUAGGUCCCAAGGGUAUGGCUGUUCGCCAUUUAAAGUGGUACGCGAGCUGGGUUUAGAACGUCGUGAGACAGUUCGGUCCCUAUCUGCCGUGGGCGCUGGAGAACUGAGGGGGGCUGCUCCUAGUACGAGAGGACCGGAGUGGACGCAUCACUGGUGUUCGGGUUGUCAUGCCAAUGGCACUGCCCGGUAGCUAAAUGCGGAAGAGAUAAGUGCUGAAAGCAUCUAAGCACGAAACUUGCCCCGAGAUGAGUUCUCCCUGACUCCUUGA